CACGGAGUUAGCCGAUCCUUAUUCCUUCGGUACAUUCAGCUACUUACACGUAAGUAGGUUUAUUCCCGAAUAAAAGCAGUUUACAACCCAGAGGGCCGUCAUCCUGCACGCGGCAUGGCUGGUUCAGAGUUCCCUCCAUUGACCAAUAUUCCUUACUGCUGCCUCCCGUAGGAGUCUGGUCCGUGUCUCAGUACCAGUGUGGGGGGUCAUCCUCUCAGAUCCCCUAGACAUCGUGGUCUUGGUGGGCCGUUACCCCGCCAACUAACUAAUGUCACGCAUGCCCAUCUUAAUCCUAUAAAUAUUUGAACAUUGGAUAAUGCUAUCCUGUGUUUUAUGCGGUCUUAAUCCGAAUUUCUUCGGGCUAUCCCCCUGAUUAAGGUAGGUUGCAUACGCGUUACGCACCCGUGCGCCACUUUCUUAUCCAGCAAGCUGGAUAAUAUCGUUCGACUUGCAUGUAUUAGGCCUGCCGCUAGCGUUCAUCCUGAGCCAGGAUCAAACUC
rnacentral:rRNA from 1 species